UCAUCUUGCCCGUGGACGUAGGCUUUUUAGCUGAACCACAUAAAUUCUGUAUCUAUUUUUUCUUCUCUUCUCUAUUCUAUGUGAUUGUACGAAUCUGUGUGUGCUCUAUUUUUAUGCUUGCUGUAAUAAUCUGCAAUACACAUUCUCUUGGAGAUGUCCUAAAAUAUAUUUAUAUGCAACUUCAAAGUGACAUUUUCCCACGCUACUGGAUUUCCCACUAAUUAAUAUAGAAAUAAGCCACUAAUUGGUCCUUGAUGGAGAAAUCUUUCCUGUUCCCCUUUUUUUGUUGUUUCAAGUUAUGAACUAUUGAAAGAGAAUCAGCUUGGACUGAUUGUAGUCACUUUGCUGGAUUAAAAAAGUUGUGUCCUAAUUAAAAUGUUUUUAUAUAUUAAGGUAAGUUCAUGCACGUAUAUGUUCCAAUCAAUUUUGAAGUGGUUUCACUUAUAACAUCAGAAAAAUAAUUCAAAGGAAAUUAAAAUAAUCUAGACAAAAAUUGAAUAAUUCAGGAUUUAGCUCACU
rnacentral:lncRNA from 1 species